rnacentral:rRNA from 1 species
CCUACGGGAGGCAGCAGUGAGGAAUAUUGGACAAUGGGGGAAACCCUGAUCCAGCCAUGCCGCGUGAGUGAAGAAGGCCCUAGGGUUGUAAAACUCUUUCAGCGGGGAAGAUAAUGACGGUACCCGCAGAAGAAGCCCCGGCUAACUCCGUGCCAGCAGCCGCGGU